GCGUGCUUAACACAUGCAAGUCGAGCGGUAAGGCCUUUCGGGGUACACGAGCGGCGAACGGGUGAGUAACACGUGGGUGACCUGCCCUCAGCUCUGGGAUAAGCCUGGGAAACUGGGUCUAAUACCGGAUAGGACUUCGCAUCGCAUGGUGUGGGGUGGAAAGUUUUUCGGCUGGGGAUGGGCCCGCGGCCUAUCAGCUUGUUGGUGGGGUGAUGGCCUACCAAGGCGUCGACGGGUAGCCGGCCUGAGAGGGCGACCGGCCACACUGGGACUGAGACACGGCCCAGACUCCUACGGGAGGCAGCAGUGGGGAAUAUUGCGCAAUGGGCGGAAGCCUGACGCAGCGACGCCGCGUGGGGGAUGACGGCCUUCGGGUUGUAAACCUCUUUCGACCGGGACGAAGCUUUGUGUGACGGUACCGGUAGAAGAAGCACCGGCCAACUACGUGCCAGCAGCCGCGGUAAUACGUAGGGUGCGAGCGUUGUCCGGAAUUAUUGGGCGUAAAGAGCUCGUAGGCGGUGUGUCGCGUCGGUCGUGAAAACUUGAGGCUUAACCUUGAGCUUGCGGUCGAUACGGGCAUCACUUGAGUUCGGCAGGGGAGACUGGAAUUCCUGGUGUAGCGGUGAAAUGCGCAGAUAUCAGGAGGAACACCGGUGGCGAAGGCGGGUCUCUGGGCCGAUACUGACGCUGAGGAGCGAAAGCGUGGGGAGCGAACAGGAUUAGAUACCCUGGUAGUCCACGCCGUAAACGGUGGGCGCUAGGUGUGGGGGCCAUUCCACGGUCUCUGUGCCGCAGCUAANCGCAUAANCGCCCGCU
rnacentral:rRNA from 1 species